GCAGUCAGCAAUGCACCUCCAGGCCCAGCCCAUAUGACAUCCCAGGGCCAGCCCAAGUACAUAUAUGGGCUACGGAAGGUUCGUGACACACCAGUGUCUUCUACGGUUCUAUGCCUGUUGCUGCUCUGAAUCUGGACUUUGGGCGGUGGUUCUUGAAGACACGGGCUGCCGGCGGCGACGCAACAUGGAGUUCCUGAUGCAGCCGAUACGCGGAUCCACUUUCCUGGAGGGAGUAGGAGAGAGUAUGGUGCCGCCUCCGGUGCCGGAACACCAGUUGCCGGACGAGGGUGUGACGGAGCAGGCGUAGUCGACGGGGGAGAGUAUGAUGGCGGAGCAUCCAGUGCCGGAGCAGGUUGUGCUGGAGCUCGCGCGGGCAGUGGGCAGUGCGGAAGCUCAGAUCUUGUCGGCCGGAGAAGCGACGACAGAAAGGGGACAACUGGGAAGAUUGAACCCCCCGGCACCUGGAUGGAACAAAAGGCUCAGGAUUGAAGCUGCAACACCUAGCAGACCACCUUACCGAAACCGCAUCAGCGCGUUUGAGAAGGCUUUUAGGAGUUUUGCUGAGAACCCAGCUGAGAAUGUGAUCGCACCAGCUAUUGGUCCUCAUUGCCCACCUCCUCCUCGCAACUGCCUUCAUCCGACAAUUUGCUUGCAGCAUUGAUUCGAAAACUGAAACCUACCAUUAUGGAUAAUAAUAAAAUUUGGUACAGAGGAUUCCAGAGUAUUGGAGAACAUAUUGGCUUUAUGUCUGAUAUACACUUGUCAAAAAAAUGGAUUCUAUGUAGAGUGUUUGUUGUUUUCAACAAAAUAUUCAAUACAGUAUGCAUGUGUA